rnacentral:sRNA from 1 species
ACAACAAAAACAGCACCCUUAAGCGGUGUUGCAAGGUAUCGCGAUCUUUAGUCUUGGGAGGAAGGUUCUCGGGCGCCCGUUAUGGUUGCAGCCGGCACUCUACGCAAGUGCAAAGAGAACAUUUAGACGCGGAACUCGUUCUAAUAGCAAGGCUUCGGCCUUGCUUUUUUUU